ACGGUGGGAAAUGAAGAUGUUCACUUUGUUUCAGGAUUCUGUCACUGAAGACAUCUUAAGCCUGAUUAUCUUGACUUAAGUAAUUAAGACCUUCAAGGGCCAUAGCCAUCAGUGCUAAACUACACAGCACCACUUUUAAGAACUAAAGCCAUAUUUAUGCAAGGCCUGAAAAGAGAAUAACGGAACAGAUGACCAUGUUGAAACAAGCACAAAGAUAAUGAGAGUGAAGAGCAGGGUUCUUCAAAAUGGCAUAGAAAGAGUAUUGCCCAGUUUGCUAUGUAACUAUUGCUCUAUAGACAUAAAAUCAGAACAUCAGAGGAGACCCACAUUGUGGCCAUGCACAUAUACUGCAUAGCAACGUAUUGUUCUGGAGUUUGAAUGAGGAAUUGUCUUCCUACUUAUGGAAUCUAAUUUCACAACAAGUAAG
rnacentral:lncRNA from 1 species